GACGAACGCUGGCGGCGUGCUUAACACAUGCAAGUCGAGCGGUAAGGCCCUUUCGGGGGUACACGAGCGGCGAACGGGUGAGUAACACGUGGGUGACCUGCCCUCAGCUCUGGGAUAAGCCUGGGAAACCGGGUCUAAUACUGGAUAUGACUCCAUGACGCAUGUUGUGGGGUGGAAAGCCUUGUGCGGCUGAGGAUGGGCCCGCGGCCUAUCAGCUUGUUGGUGGGGNGAUGGCCUACCAAGGCGGCGACGGGUAGCCGGCCUGAGAGGGCGACCGGCCACACUGGGACUGAGACACGGCCCAGACUCCUACGGGAGGCAGCAGUGGGGAAUCUUGCGCAAUGGGCGAAAGCCUGACGCAGCGACGCCGCGUGAGGGAUGACGGCCU
rnacentral:rRNA from 1 species